CCUACGGGUGGCAGCAGUGAGGAAUAUUGGUCAAUGGGCGCGAGCCUGAACCAGCCAAGUAGCGUGAAGGAUGACUGCCCUACGGGUUGUAAACUUCUUUUAUAGGGGAAUAAAGUGCGGCACGUAUGCCUUUUUGUAUGUACUUUAUGAAUAAGGAUCGGCUAACUCCGUGCCAGCAGCCGCGGUAAUACGGAGGAUCCGAGCGUUAUCCGGAUUUAUUGGGUUUAAAGGGAGCGUAGGAGGGUUGUUAAGUCAGUUGUGAAAGUUUGCGGCUCAACCGUAAAAUUGCAAUUGAUACUGGCAGCCUUGAGUACAGUUGAGGUAGGCGGAAUGCGUGGUGUAGCGGUGAAAUGCUUAGAUAUCACGAAGAACUCCGAUUGCGAAGGCAGCUUACUAAACUGUCACUGACAUUGAGGCUCGAAAGUGUGGGUAUCAAACAGGAUUAGAUACCCCUGUAGUC
rnacentral:rRNA from 1 species